rnacentral:rRNA from 1 species
UACGUAGGGUGCAAGCGUUAAUCGGAAUUACUGGGCGUAAAGCGUGCGCAGGCGGUUGUGCAAGACAGAUGUGAAAUCCCCAAGCUUAACUUGGGAACUGCAUCCGAUACUGGAUGGCUUGAAUCCGGGAGAGGGAUGCAGAAUUCCAGGUGUAGCGGUGAAAUGCGUAGAUAUCUGGAGGAAUACCGGUGGCGAAGGCGGCAUCCUGGACCGGCAUUGACGCUGAGGCGCGAAAGCUAGGGGAGCAAACGGG